GGAGAAAAGCAGGGGAUCGACAAAACCUUGCGCUAAAGGAGCGGCCGAUGUCUGAUUAGUUAGUUGGUGGGGUAAAGGCCUACCAAGGCAACGAUCAGUAGUUGGUCUGAGAGGACG
rnacentral:rRNA from 1 species